rnacentral:rRNA from 1 species
AUUGAACGCUGGCGGCAGGCCUAACACAUGCAAGUCGAGCGAGCGGCGGACGGGUGAGUAAUGUCUGGGAAACUGCCUGAUGGAGGGGGAUAACUACUGGAAACGGUUGCUAAUACCGCAUACCAUCAGAUGUGCCCAAAUGGGAUUAGCUAGUAGGUGGGGUAAAGGCUCACCUAGGCGACGAACCCUAGCUGGUCUGAGAGGAUGAACAGCCACACUGGAACGGAGACACGGUCCAGACUCCUACGGGAGGCAGCAGUGGGGAAUAUUGGACAAUGGGCGCAAGCCUGAUGCAGCCAUGCCGCGUGUGUGAAGAAGGCCUUCGGAUUGUAAAGCACUUUCAGCGGGGAGGCGUUACCCGCAGAAGAAGCACCGGCUAACUCCGUGCCAGCAGCCGCGGUAAUAC